AUUGAACGCUGGCGGCAUGCCUUACACAUGCAAGUCGAACGGCAGCACGGGUGCUUGCACCUGGUGGCGAGUGGCGAACGGGUGAGUAAUACAUCGGAACGUACCUUAUCGUGGGGGAUAACGCGGCGAAAGUUGCGCUAAUACCGCAUACGCCCUGAGGGGGAAAGCGGGGGACCGUAAGGCCUCGCGCGAUUAGAGCGGCCGAUGUCUGAUUAGCUUGUUGGUGAGGUAAAAGCUCACCAAGGCGAUGAUCAGUAGCUGGUCUGAGAGGACGAUCAGCCACACUGGGACUGAGACACGGCCCAGACUCCUACGGGAGGCAGCAGUGGGGAAUUUUGGACAAUGGGGACAACCCUGAUCCAGCAAUGCCGCGUGAGUGAAGAAGGCCUUCGGGUUGUAAAGCUCUUUUGUCAGGGAAGAAACAGCAGCUCUAACACAGUCUGCGAAUGACGGUACCUGAAGAAUAAGCACCGGCUAACUACGUGCCAGCCGCCGCGGUAA
rnacentral:rRNA from 1 species